rnacentral:pre_miRNA from 1 species
CAAUCCAUACUAGUCUUUCUAUAUGUACAGAUAAUGUAGAAAACCUGGUAUGGAUUGUU